AAGACUGUAUAUUCGGGGAUCAUUUCUAUAGUUUGUUAUUAGAGAAGUUUCUCUGAUCAUAUUAGAGCACCCAAAACCACAAGGAGGGCUCAGAGCAUUCUCUCCUGUGUGUGAAGCUGGUUUUAGGUAUUGCUUUUGUCACUGCCUUUUUACCAUUAAUGAUCGUUCUUCUCUUCCGUUGGAAGAGGGAGAGGAUGCAGUCUGUUACAUGCGGU